rnacentral:rRNA from 1 species
UACGUAGGUGGCAAGCGUUGUCCGGAAUUACUGGGCGUAAAGAGCGCGCAGGCGGCUGGUCAAGUCCGAUGUGAAAGCUCCCGGCUUAACUGGGAAAUUGCAUCGGAAACUGAUCGGCUUGAAGGUGGGAGAGGGUAGUGGAAUUCCCGGUGUAGUGGUCGAAAUGCGUAGAGAUCAUGAGGAAGACCAGUGGCGAAGGCGGGUCUGCUGGACAGUUCCUGACACUGAGACACGAAGGCCAGGGGAGCAAACGAG